AUUGAACGCUGGCGGCAGGCCUAACACAUGCAAGUCGAGCGGAGCGGCGGACGGGUGAGUAAUGCCUAGGAAUCUGCCUGGUAGUGGGGGAUAACGUCCGGAAACGGGCGCUAAUACCGCAUACUAUCAGAUGAGCCUAGGUCGGAUUAGCUAGUUGGUGGGGUAAAGGCCUACCAAGGCGACGAUCCGUAACUGGUCUGCGAGGAUGAUCAGUCACAAUGGGACGGAGACAAGGUCCAGACGCCUACGUGAGGCAGCAGGUGGGAAUAGUGGACAAUGGGCGGAAGCCUGAUCCAGCCAGGCCGCGUGUGGGAAGACGGUCUUCGGAUUGUAAAGCACUUUAAGUUGUGAGGCGUUACCAACAGAAUAAGCACCGGCUAACGUCGUGCCAGCAGCCGCGGUAAGUC
rnacentral:rRNA from 1 species